rnacentral:rRNA from 1 species
UACGAAGGGGGCUAGCGUUGCUCGGAAUCACUGGGCGUAAAGGGUGCGUAGGCGGCUUCUUAAGUCAGGGGUGAAAUCCUGGAGCUCAACUCCAGAACUGCCUUUGAUACUGAAGAUCUUGAGUUCGGGAGAGGUGAGUGGAACUGCGAGUGUAGAGGUGAAAUUCGUAGAUAUUCGCAAGAACACCAGUGGCGAAGGCGGCUCACUGGCCCGAUACUGACGCUGAGGCACGAAAGCGUGGGGAGCAAACAGG